UCUUUUUCAGACAAUUACAAGAUGAUGAAGUUAUCAUGCUCGGCGCUGGUUUUUAUAUUGUUCUGUGCACAAGUUAUUGAUGCACAAAUCUUAGGAGCAUUACUUUUAAGUCGGUUAAUAGGUGGUAAUAACUUUGGAUUAGGCGGAGGAGGUGGAUUUCAACAACCUGCUACUUUUUACUAUCCUAAUUUUCUUUCUGGUCCACCUCCAAUGCACACAGGGCCUUACUACGGAUGAAAAUUAAAAAAACAUCAUGUAAUCAACGAUUUCCCCUGAAGACUGUUCGACAUGGAUCUUCUGAAAUAUUUUAUAGAAUGAAGAAUGUGUUCAGAUUUCAGUAAAUUAAAAUUUUCAAACAUUGA